rnacentral:rRNA from 1 species
UACGAAGGGGGCUAGCGUUGCUCGGAAUCACUGGGCGUAAAGCGCACGUAGGCGGAUUGCUAAGUCAGGGGUGAAAUCCUGGAGCUCAACUCCAGAACUGCCUUUGAUACUGGCGACCUUGAGUCCGGGAGGGGUGAGUGGAACUGCGAGUGUAGAGGUGAAAUUCGUAGAUAUUCGCAAGAAUACCAGUGGCGAAGGCGGCUCACUGGCCCGGUACUGACGCUGAGGUGCGAAAGCGUGGGGAGCAAACAGG